ACGCACGCUGGCGGCGUGCUUAACACCUGCCAGUCGAACGGAAAGGCCCUGCUUGCAGGGUGCUCGAGUGGCGAACGGGUGAGUAACACGUGGGUGAUCUGCCCCUUAUUUUGGGAUAAGCCUGGGAAACUGGGUCUAAUACUGGAUAGGACCAUGCUGUAGGUGGUGUGGUGGAAAGAUUAGUUUCGGUAAGGGAUGAGCUCGCGGCCUAUCAGCUUGUUGGUGGGGUAAUGGCCUACCAAGGCGUCGACGGGUAGCCGGCCUGAGAGGGUGGACGGCCACAUUGGGACUGAGAUACGGCCCAGACUCCUACGGGAGGCAGCAGUGGGGAAUAUUGCACAAUGGGCGCAAGCCUGAUGCAGCGACGCCGCGUGGGGGAUGACGGCCUUCGGGUUGUAAACUCCUUUCAGCCAUGACGAAGCCCUUGUGGUGACGGUAGUGGUAGAAGAAGCACCGGCUAACUACGUG
rnacentral:rRNA from 1 species